rnacentral:rRNA from 1 species
AGCAGCCGCGGUAAUUCCAGCUCCAAUAGCGUAUAUUAAAGUUGUUGCAGUUAAAAAGCUCGUAGUUGAAUUUCGGGAUUAGUGCGCCGGUCGUGCCUUCGGUAUGUACUGGUGUUACUGGUUCCUACCUUCUGACGAACCGUCAUGUCAUUAAUUUGGUGUGGCGGGGAAUCAGGACUGUUACUUUGAAAAAAAUUAGAGUGUUUAAAGCAGGCUCGCGCUUGAAUACAUUAGCAUGGAAUAAUGAAAUAGGACGUUCGAUCCUAUUUUGUUGGUUUCUAGGAUUGACGUAAUGAUUAAUAGGGAUAGUUGGGGGCAUUAGUAUUCAAUUGUCAGAGGUGAAAUUCUUGGAUUUAUUGAAGACUAACUACUGCGAAAGCAUUUGCCAAGGAUGUUUUCAUUAAUCAAGAACGAAAGUUAGGGGAUCGAAGACGAUCAGAUACCGUCGUA